UUUUACGUCGACCCUCUUGAAACAAUGUCACGGCCGAACGAGGCAGGCUAACGAGGAAAAAAUCUGUCGCUGAUCGGGGCCGUUGCCAAUUAGUUCUCUUUACAAUUCACGAUAAUAAACUGGAAUAUUAAACAAAUCGCAGAGAAACUAAACAGAGAAAACGAGAAACAGAAAUAACGCGACAAAAGAAACUGUGUCAUAUAUAUGCUAAUGCAAAAGACGAAGAUUAAAAUAGCCGAUUUUUCGUAUCCAAUUCACCCUAUGAUCUCUGAUCUAAGAUCGCCUUAUGAUGCUCUCUCAUGCAUACGCUCGUUUGUCUCGCGCAAACGUGUACCAGCGACAGAAUAAAUCACGCCAGGCUCUUGCCAGGCUACGAGUCAGAUAACCAAAUAAGUUCCUCAGCUUUAUCGCGAAUCCCGGACAAAUCGUCGAAAUUUGGCACGACCAGAGGCAGCGGCCGCGAUCGUGAGUGGAUACGAGAAGCUAAAUGGAGCGGUAAAAGUGACCAGCGUCGGCCGAUAGCGUGCGUCCGCGCGUAAGCACGUAAUGGCUUCGAGAAUGGAACGAGGAGAAGGAAGAGGAACGGGUCGUUAAUAGCAAGACUGAGUGUAGGCCGCACGCAACGGCGAACAGGUCGUUCUCUGGAUACCGCAAAUUGCUUUGUUAUAUCUAUGUACGUAUCUUGAAUAUAUGCAUGAAGGAUCAUAGGGAGGACGACGAGACGAAGAUUUUUUCCCUGAUAAUCGAGAAACGCUCGAGGAAAUAGUAUAAACGCAGCCGGCCAAGACGAAAAGAGAGAAGGGAAAAAGACGAAGGGAGAAAAAGGGAACGAGUGGAAACGGUUGGUUGGUGGAGAAAGAGAAGAAAGGGAAGAUCAGGCAACAAAGGACGCGGAAUGGCUAGGAAAGUGUAUGUAGACGGCGCGGCGGAAAGAAGAAUGGUGCACGAAAACGACGGCAGGAUGAAUGUCCUUGUGGUCGAGCUGCGAUGGUACAGUCAUUAGAAUGUAUUGUGGCUCAACGGUUUGACACGCUCCCUUUUGCGACGCGCCGCUCCACAUACCUCCGGUUCUCGUUCUCCAGAAAGUUUAUCUCCGCCAAGACCUUUUCACUUUUACGCAGUGGCAGAUGCACAGAAUUGCGCGCCUGAUGCAUAUAAACCGGUCAUUCUAAUAUACUAAAUAAUAGGUAGCAGAGCGCUAUACUUUUGUUGAUCUUUUGUGGACCGUGGCUCGGUCAGCUCUGCUGUAAAGUGCUGAGAAUGCGUAGAUGGUAAAGGCACUCGUAGAUAGCAGAAGCAGACUAUCAGACUAUUUUGUAAAUUUUAUAGCUAUUAUCAUAAAUUAUUAUAAUCUUGGGUAAUGAUAUAACGGAAUCGUAGAAUCAAUCGAGGAAAUUAAUUCCUUAACAAUGGAAGUACUAUUAGAUUGUCCGAAAAGUUUCUUUCGUUUUAGGAAAUAUCAGACGCACAAUGUUUUUUGUUUUAUAUUAGUUUAUUGAAUUAUGCACGAACAUAAUAAUAGAAAUAAAAUGAAAUAGAUCAUACCUGAUUCAAUAAAAUAAUAUAAAACAGAAAUUGUUGUUCAUCUAUUAUCGCCUUAUGAAACGAAAGAAACUUUUCGGACAACCUAAUCCUUGGUGUUUCACGUCGAAUAAUCGUACUUCAAUCGAUAAAAACGAGA
rnacentral:misc_RNA from 1 species